rnacentral:rRNA from 1 species
CUCAAAGAUUAAGCCAUGCAAGUGGUUAUAUUAACCCGACAGUUUAAAUAGGUGUUAAAUGCUACCAUUAAACUUAUCGUAUAUCACGCAUAGACCGAUUUUGUUUACGGCAGUAACAAUUUCAGCGUGUUAUCACCCAUCACAGUGAAUCACUGAAAUUUACCCUACAUUCAGUAUCACUUACGCAACUGCAGACAGCUGCUUAAUACAGUCACACUUGUCUUGACUUGGCGCAAUAAAAAUUUUCAUUGAGACACCCUCUCUCUCUCUCUCUCUUUUGCGGGACUGACUGGGCAGAUCGGUGAUCAUUUUUGUUUUGUUGCAUUCACGCAUACAAAAUUUUUUUGAUUUCUCUGUAUCGCUUAUUCUUUAAGGAUCAUUGCGUUACACCGUGACAAUUUUUUUCUUUAUGGAUAACUCAGGGAAAGUUUGGCUAAUACGUACGAGUAUAUAUUUUUUUAUUUACCCACAUACGCACACACACUCAAAUUAAUUUUUGUAUCGCUGUGUAUCAACUACUACUCAGCACUCAAUGGUAAACUUUGGCUGCGCUUGCGCGGUCAGUUUAAAGUUUAACUGCAACAUGAGAGACAUUGAGCACGCACGUGUUGUGUCUUCGGACGCUUCACAUCACGCUGAGCAGACUUUGCGAAGUUUACUUUGCGAAGCAUGUCAUACAAGCAUCUACAGCAUCAAGUCACAGGGUUGGCAAGUGUAUUUUUGAACCUUCAAAGCAGUCACGCAUACGGAAGAGUAGUUUCUGAUCCCAUAGAAGGAGCACCGUACAAUGAGAGACCGCUCUUAGUUCUAAGGAACGCAGCAGGCGCGUAAAUUGCCCAAUGCGAGUACCCUACAAUUCAAAUUGUAUUUACAUGCGUUAUCAACAAUUUACAACAUUACAUACAAGUUUUUAAUGACAGCACAUUAUAACACUUUCAUUUUAUUCUGUUAUCAUUAUACACAUAUAUCCUUGUUCACGUUGUACUUUCAGCAUAUUAUAAUAUUAAUUUAUUAUUAUUUACUGAGGCAGUGACAAGCUGUAACGGUUGAGUAUAAAAAUGACGAGUGUCUGGCAUUGCCGCUCUUUCGGGAGCUUGGCAAGUUGCCGACGCUUUGUGUGCUCAAUUGGAAUGCGGUGAGUUUAAGCAACUCAGAACCUUUGGACGGUGUUAGUAAAAUUUCACUGUUNNAUGUAUCUGAAUUUCAAGUNNUGAGGGCAAGUCUGGUGC